UCUCAACAAUGCUAAUAUAAUUGGAUCACAUAACAAUCCCUCAACUUGCGAUGAGGAAUCACUCCGAAGUUCCUAUAUAGCGGAGAACAUAAGAAGAAAUUGUUUGUAGGGUAUGAUACCACCUCAAAGUUAUUCUUUCCGAUCAACCCUUCCAAGAGAUCAUACUAAGAUAAUGUCAGGGCCAACUUUUCUGGGAUUUUAAGUUCCCAUCAAAAUGAUCCUUGUGCAUACCAGCCCCAGGAAUACCGUUAGCUGGUACACAAAUUCUUAGUAGUUAUCUCCAAGCAAAUUAUAGAUUUGAAGUACAAGACCAAGAUGGCCUAUGGAGUACAUCAAAAAGGUUUCUACUGUUUGAUGGCGAAAGCAAUUCGGGAUAUCAGCGUCUAUGGGACUCCAUUUCCCACAAGAACAGCUCACCUGGAUAAUUCCUAUGUCACAUGGCUGCUAUCUCUGGGCCUAAGUUCCGGGGUACCGUCGGGAUGCUCCUCUCCAAAUACGCAAUCUAGCCAAGACAAUAGCGAGGAAAAAGCUAGUGAGUACUUUGAAUGUACUCGCAAACAUCAUGAAAUCAUACAUAAAAUAGCUGGUGAUUAAUAUGCACUUGAAACAAUUCAACCAUAUCACCACAUGAAAUAUCACUUGUUCCAACAUAAAGGUAAUCCCUGUGUCACAACAAUUCACACACAACCAUAAUAUAUCCAAGUUCAAGAUCCUUGCCUUCCAAGCCAAGAGAGGUAGGGUGCACUCCAAAACUUUUGGAAGAUUUUACUCCUCUCUCCAUAUCCUAUUUUUGAAAAUAUUCUAAUUAAUACAUAAUUUAAAAACAGUAUAAAAAGUUGUCUUAGAAAAUUUUCGAAUAAAUACUUAAAUAAUCUAUAUUAAAUUUGAAAAAGGUGAGAAAAGAAUCAACUCAUUUAGAGUUUCAUUUUAGAAAUUAGGGCAGUCAAAGUUUGGUCAAACUUUUGUUUUUAAUUAAAUCAUAAAAGAAAUCGAUUUGAUAAUAAUAUGCUUUCAAAAAAUGAACAAGCACUUACAACAGUGCGUUUCCUCAAGGGGAAGACGCAUCGGUGAGACUGCGCCACUAGGGCAACGGUUGGCUUACCGACAGGUGGGGGCCACCUGUCGGGUUCAUCUCCUUCCUCCGCGCGCCUGGACAAAGAGCAGUGCGAGUCCGGUGACGAUUGUCGGUGCCACGAGGCGCCAUUCUUGAAGCCCGGCCAAUCCAUGUGCUCAGAGGGACGACCCACACCGCACGGGAAAGAAAGGAGCGUCUGGGAGCUCUAGGUUGAGCAGAGCCUCCCUAAUGGCGGUUUGAGCUUCGGCCAUGGAGGGGGCUUUGCUCACUUCGGCUCCCAGGCCAAAUUGGAGGGGGAAAUGGGUUCAUGGGGCCAUCAUGGGGCUAAUGGUGAAUAAGAGAGGCAAGGAUGGGCUCUAGCUUGCUCGAAUUUAAUCGAGGACGACGGUGGCCGAAACUGCGUGCGGUGGGGAAGGAGGCAGCCCCGGGCGAAAUUGGGGCAAGGGGAAGCUACCUUAGGCUAUGUAGGGGAGGGUGUGGUGGCUAGAGUGCUUGGGGGAGCUCUUUUAUAGUGCGCCGAGGUCGAUUCCUCGACGGUAAUGGAUAAGCUUGGC
rnacentral:lncRNA from 1 species